CUAAGGGCUUCCUCGGGGCAGAAAGCCCCAGAGGCAGGCCUGAGGGAGGUGCCCAGAAAGGUUGAGGGAUGUCCUAGUUCUGGUGAUGGCAGGGGCUGGGGACGAAGGACAGGCUUGGGCACCCCCUUUCUGCCAUGGCUGCUCCCUGACUGGCCUUUUGGCAGCUACAUGUGAGCUCCCAGGGCCUGCCUGGCCGUGCUUGACAGCCUCCUCCUCAGGGUGGGAGCUCAUGCUCCA
rnacentral:lncRNA from 1 species